AUUGAACGCUGGCGGCAGGCUUAACACAUGCAAGUCGAGCGGAGCGAGGGUGCUUGCACCUUAGCUUAGCGGCGGACGGGUGAGUAAUGCUUAGGAAUCUGCCUAUUAGUGGGGGACAACAUUCCGAAAGGAAUGCUAAUACCGCAUACGCCCUACGGGGGAAAGCAGGGGAUCUUCGGACCUUGCGCUAAUAGAUGAGCCUAAGUCGGAUUAGCUAGUUGGUGGGGUAAAGGCCUACCAAGGCGACGAUCUGUAGCGGGUCUGAGAGGAUGAUCCGCCACACUGGGACUGAGAAACGGCCCAGACUCCUACGGGAGGCAGCAGGGGGGAAUAUUGGACAAUGGGCGGAAGCCUGAUCCAGCCAUGCCGCGUGUGUGAAGAAGGCCUUUUGGUUGUAAAGCACUUUAAGCGAGGAGGAGGCUACUUAGAUUAAUACUCUGGGAUAGUGGACGUUACUCGCAGAAUAAGCACCGGCUAACUCUGUGCCAGCCGCCGCCGUAA
rnacentral:rRNA from 1 species